CUGUAUUUGUCUCCACCACUGACCAGAAUAUUCAUUCAGCUGACAAUGAUGCAGCGACACUAUGUCUACUUGAGGGUUGCAGCAUUAAACCAACGCAUACUGCGCCUGGUUAAACUGGAUUGCAGGUGGUUGAAGAGGCUGUUUAGUGAAUCCCCCCACAGAGAUCAAAGCUUUAGGUCCUUGGGACUUUACAGGAGGUAUCUGUGCCGCUGAAAACGUGUCCUCCGAACCCUAGAGAGAAGCAGAAGGAAGCAUCGAGUGUCGACGGAAUGACAGUAAAAAAUGGAGCCAUGGAAACGACUCUCCCAUGUGUUGAUUGGAUUCUGCCAGCUCAUCCUUGCUGUGCAUAUUAAUUAGGAAGAAAGGCGACCCACUGUGCCCUGGAUCACACUGUGCACUUGUCCUUUUGGGAGAGAGAGAGAGAGAGGAGGAGAGAGAGGCUGUUUUUUGACGUAGUAUACCUCUCCUGCAGGUGUCAGUGCUGCACCGUGGUCUGGGGGAUUGACUGCAAUGCAUCAUGGGAGAGUG